rnacentral:rRNA from 1 species
AGCAGCCGCGGUAAUUCCAGCUCCAAUAGCGUAUAUUAAAGUUGUUGCAGUUAAAAAGCUCGUAGUUGAAUUUCGGGAUUGACGUGAUGGUCAUGCCUUAAGGGGUAUGAACUGUUACUGUUGAUUUCUCACCUUCUGGAGAAACUUGAUGUCCUUUAUUGGGUGUCUUGCGGAUCCAGGACCUUUACCUUGAAAAAAUUUAGAGUGUUUAAAGCAGGCAUUUUUUGCUCGAAUACAUUAGCAUGGAAUAAUAGAAUAGGACGGCAUGGUUCUAUUUUGUUGGUUUCUAGGAUCACCGUAAUGAUUGAUAGGGAUAGUUGGGGGCAUUAGUAUUCAAUUGUCAGAGGUGAAAUUCUUGGAUUUAUUGAAGACUAACUACUGCGAAAGCAUUUGCCAAGGAUGUUUUCAUUAAUCAAGAACGAAAGUUAGGGGAUCGAAGACGAUCAGAUACCGUCGUAGUCUUAACCAUAAAACUAUGCCGACUAGGAAUCAGACGAUGUUAAUUUUUUUCAAAUGACUC